rnacentral:rRNA from 1 species
UACGUAGGUCCCGAGCGUUGUCCGGAUUUACUGGGUGUAAAGGGAGCGUAGACGGCAAUGCAAGCCAGAUGUGAAAACCCGCAGCUCAACUGGGGGAGUGCAUUUGGAACUGUGUAGCUGGAGUGCAGGAGAGGUAAGCGGAAUUCCUGGUGUAGCGGUGAAAUGCGUAGAUAUCAGGAGGAACACCAGUGGCGAAGGCGGCUUACUGGACUGUAACUGACGUUGAGGCUCGAAAGCGUGGGGAGCAAACAGG